GUGUAAUGAUGCAACAUAUUUGAAAGCUCUGAUAUCUGAUGUUUUCAAAGGAACCACUGAUUCAC